GACGAACGCUGGCGGCGCGCCUAACACAUGCAAGUCGAACGGAUUCAAGAGGAGCUUGCUUUUCUUGACUUAGUGGCGAACGGGUGAGUAACGCGUGAGUAACCUGCCCUGGAGUGGGGGACAACAGUUGGAAACGACUGCUAAUACCGCAUAAGCCCACGGAUCUGCAUGGGUCUUCGGGAAAAGGAUUUAUUCGCUCUAGGAUGGACUCGCGUCCAAUUAGCUAGUUGGUGAGGUAACGGCCCACCAAGGCGACCAUUGGUAGCCGGACUGAGCGGUUGACCGGCAAAAUUGGGACUGAGACCCGGCCCAGACCCCUCCGGGAGGAAGCAGUGGGGGAUAUUGAAAAAUGGGGGAAACCCUGAGGCAGCGACGCCGCGUGGAGGAAGAAGGUUUUGGGUUUGUAAACUCCUGUCGCUAGGGACGAUAAUGACGGUACCUAACAAGAAAGCACCAGCUAACUACUU
rnacentral:rRNA from 1 species